UGCAUUCUUUUUACCGCUGCUCCUUGUUCGUGUGAUUGUCGGUUUAUUCUCUUCGCGUGGAAGCAACUUCCCUUCGUUGCUGCCUACCGAGGCCAGUGAUGUGGCCAUCGAUUAUAUUUGGUGAAUUGUGCGUGCAAGAACCCUAUUUCCUUAACCAGGUCCUCUUCUUCAGAAUUGCUUCAGUCGCAGUGGUGGCCCUCCAGGACUUGGCGAAAUCAUGCAAUUCCGAUAGAUAUUUUUUCGUGUGGAGAUCAGAAGAGCUGA
rnacentral:lncRNA from 1 species